UACGUAGGUGGCAAGCGAUACUCGGAAUCACUAGGCGUAAAGCGCAGGUAGGCGGUUCGGUAAGUCUUUUGUGAAAGCUCCUGGCUCAACUGGGAGAGGCCAAGGGAAACUGCCGGGCUAGAGUGUGGUAGGGGAUACCGGAAUUCCUGGUGUAGCGGUGAAAUGCGUAGAUAUCAGGAGGAAUACCUAUGGCGAAAGCAGGUAUCUGGGCCAUCACUGACGCUGAGCUGCGAAAGCUAGGGGAGAAGACAGG
rnacentral:rRNA from 1 species